UGAUUGAUCCAUUGAUAAGCAGCAUGAUGAGAGUGAUCCAAGUCCCUGUUGGAGUCAGUCAGAGCAUUUCCAUAGAGAGCCACUUUGCAUCAGCAGCACCAUGCUCCAGUGCUCUGGGAGAGUUUAUAGUCCUGAGAGUUGAACACUGGAUGACUGACAGCUGUCCUUCAUGACAACAGAAGACACAGAAAUCCUCCUCAUCAAAAACAUGACUUUGACCUGCGUCCUCAUCUGGACUCUCCUCUGCUGCUGCUUCACAGAGUCCAGAGGUCAGAUCACAGUGACUCAGCCUGCAGCAGUGAGCUCUGCUCUGGGAGGCUCCGUCACCAUCAGCUGUAGGACCAGUCAACAGGUUCCGGGUUGUAACAGCGCUUACUGUUUUUACUGGUACCAACAGAAAGCUGGAGAAACUCCUAAACUGCUAAUUCGCUACACCAAUGAGAGAAUGUCAGGGAUUCCAGGUCGUUUUACAGGCAGCGGAUCAAGGCAAGACUUCACUCUGACCAUCAGUGGAGUUCAGGCUGAAGACGCUGCAGUUUACUACUGUCAGAGUUAUCACUACAUCAACAGUCAGCGUGUGUUCACACAGUGAAAAACUGUCGUACAAAAACCUCCCUCAGAAACUGA